rnacentral:lncRNA from 1 species
UGAUACUACCAUGCUCAAGCAUUGAAAAACUUUAAAUUGACAUUGGAGCAGUCAGUCAACAAAGGAGAAGGAUUUGCCUCAUCUGUUCAAACGUGUAAGGAAGGAUGCAUGCUUCAGUUUGACCAUGGAUAUCCAAGUAGUGUUUGUAUAAUUGAAAUUAUGAGAUUUUGUUGCUUAUAAUUGAAAGAAUAAAUGCCUGAGAUUUUUUUUUUUGCUAGUGAUCAUCACAUAUUUGCAAAACACAUUGUUUUUGUUAUCUCUUAACAUGCAUUUGAAUCACCUUGAUGAUUCUCCCCUUUUCCUUCCUUACAUUAUAAUACACUUGCACUGUUGAUUCCUUAUAUUCUUUGGAAGAUUCAGUUUUAGCUGUGUGACUACUGUGGUUUGAUACUUGCUGGAUCACUAGAAACUUUUAGUUCCAUUGCAGUUAUGGCCAUUGAUUUUCUUCUAAUGAUUAGCCUUUGGUGUAGGUUUUGAUAGAUCUCUUUAUAACCUGAACUUUCUUGAAAUUACUAAUAUGGCUCUCUUAAGAACUAUUUGUUUUCUCUGUUUAUCUGCAAACUUGCUGCUACUUGCUACAUACUCAACUGGUGGCCUUUCGUGAGGAGUUGAAAGCAAUAAAUUAAAGGAUCUGCAGACUCAAAACCAACAAAUGCUGUGA